CCACCAAGACUCUGCCACAUGAUGGGACUGUGUUUGUAGCUAUCUGGGCAGUGAAUGGGGUUGGCCUACAGAGUGAUGCCUACCACGCUGAACUGGUCCUGAAGGCAGACUCUACUCUGUGGCUGGUGAGGAGGUGUCAGGCCUACAACUGUGAGGGACAUUGUGUCUGUGCUGUGCAGGGCGGUACCUGUUCUGAAGACACAUGUGUAUUAUCAACAGCAGGAGCCAACUCUAUCACUGUCGUCGACAGUAUCGACCUCUCGUUAACACCUGAUGUUGCUGACGUUGAUGUUUCUCGUU